CCCUUAGAUGUCCUGGGCUGCACGCGCGCUACACUGAUGUGUCCAGUAAGCACCUAACCUCUUCCGAAAGGAACGGGUAACCUUUGCAAAGCACAUCGUGAUGGGGAUAGAUUAUUGCAAUUAUUAGUCUUGAACGAGGAAUUCCUAGUAAGCACAAGUCAUCAGCUUGUGUUGAUUACGUCCCUGCCCUUUGUACACACCGCCCGUCGCUCCUACCGAUUGAGUGUGUUGGUGAGGAGUUUGGAUUGGCCUCGGAAGGUGGUUCGCCACCGUCCGUAGCUGAGAAGUUCUCCAAACCGCCCCACUUAGAGGAAGGAGAAGUCGUAACA
rnacentral:rRNA from 1 species